AUUCCAUACGAAGAAAAGGCCACGUGGUUCGACCACCGUUGGGUUUCUGUAGAGAGUUUAAUGCGAGCAAAACAACAACUUCGCCUUCAUCGGCGCUCCGCGGGGAUGCGCGAUCCAAUCGCACGAUAACGACAAACAAGUGCGGCAGCAAAAAGCAUAAAAAGGGCGACGAGGGGGCUCGGGGCCAUGGCCGCUUCCCGCUUCAAGGUGCUCGGGGCGCUCGCGAUCGCCGCCUCGGGCGGCGCGUCGUGGGCGGCGGCGGAGGCGAGCGGCGGCGGCGGCGGCGGCGGGGGAGGCGGAGGAGACGGAGGUUUGAAGGAGGCGAGGCGGCGGAUCGCCGAUCCGGCGGCGGCGGUGCCGGCGCGAGGGCCGCAGGCGGCGGCGCUGGAGGGGGCGAGCGCGGCGAGCCCCCUCGACGUGCUCGUCGUCGGCGGCGGCGCCACCGGGUGCGGCGUCGCCCUCGACGCCGCCACCCGCGGCCUCCGCGUGGGGCUCGUCGAGCGGGAGGAUUUCUCCUCGGGCACCUCGUCCAGGUCCACCAAGUUGAUCCAUGGCGGUGUUCGGUACUUGGAGAAGGCAGUGUUUAAUCUUGAUUAUGGGCAGUUGAAACUUGUUUUUCAUGCACUUAGGGAACGCAAACAGGUUAUCGACAAUGCUCCACACUUAUGCCAUGCUUUACCAUGUAUGACACCUUGCUUUGACUGGUUUGAGGCAGUAUACUAUUGGAUGGGUUUAAAGUUAUAUGAUCUCGUUGCUGGUCGAAGGAUGCUACAUUUGUCAAGAUAUUAUUCUGCAAAUGAGUCAAUUGAACUUUUUCCUACCCUGGCCAGAAACGGUCAUAACAAAAGCCUUAAGGGGACGGUGGUUUAUUAUGAUGGACAAAUGAAUGACUCUCGGCUGAAUGUUGGAUUGGCUUGUACUGCUGCAUUAGUAGGUGCAGCUGUACUUAAUCAUGCAGAAGUGAUAUCUUUUAUUAAGGACGAGUUUGGUGAGCGGAUUAUUGGCGCUCGCAUCCGUGAUACACUAUCAGGUAAAGAGUUUGAUACAUUUGCAAAAGUUGUUGUCAAUGCGGCUGGACCAUUUUGUGAUUCAGUAAGGAAAAUGGCUAACAAGGAUGCAAAACCGAUGAUCUCUCCAAGUAGUGGUGUUCAUAUAGUUCUUCCCGACUACUAUUCUCCUGAAGGGAUGGGUCUGAUUGUUCCAAAAACUAAGGAUGGCCGUGUUGUGUUCAUGUUGCCCUGGUUGGGAAGGACAGUGGCAGGGACAACUGAUUCUAACACCGCAAUAACCAUGUUCCCAGAGCCACAUGAAGAUGAAAUACAAUUCAUCCUGGAUGCCAUAUGUGAUUACCUUAAUGUUCAGGUAAGGCGAUCAGAUGUUCUUUCUGCCUGGAGUGGUAUACGUCCAUUGGCUAUGGACCCAUCGGCAAAGAACACCGAGAGUAUUUCUAGAGAUCAUGUUGUAUCUGAAGAAUAUCCUGGUUUAAUCACAAUUACUGGUGGAAAAUGGACCACUUAUAGAAGCAUGGCAGAAGAUGCGGUUGAUGCAGCUAUCAAAUCAGGGAAGUUGAAGCCUGCUAAUGGCUGUGUGACUGAUCGCCUGCGCAUUGUCGGUGGAUAUGGAUGGGAGCCUUCUUCAUUUACCAUCCUUGCUCAGCAUUAUGUUCGCAUGAAGAAGACACAUGGUGGAAAAGUUAUUCCUGGUGUAAUGGACAGUGCUGUUUCCAAGCAUUUGUCUCAUGCAUAUGGGAUUUUGGCUGAACGAGUAGCUACUAUUGCUCAGAAUGAAAAUCUAGGAAAGCGACUUGCUCAUGGAUACCCGUUUCUGGAAGCCGAGGUUGCAUACUGUGCUCGUAAUGAGUAUUGCGAAUCUGCUGUGGACUUCAUUGCUCGGAGGUCUCGUCUUGCUUUUCUUGACACUGAUGCGGCGGGGCGAGCAUUGCCCCGCGUUAUUCAGAUUUUAGCUGCUGAACACAAAUGGGAUAAGGCCAGGCAGAAGCAAGAAUUGCAGAAAGCUAAAGAGUUCUUGGAAACAUUCAAGUCCUCCAAAAAUGCACAAUUCCGGGAUGGAAAACAUAUUGGGAUUUUGAGUUAAAUAAUUUUUGAGGGACAACUCAAUAUACAUUCCCCUAAUAUAAAUUCGAUCUAACAAAAAAAAGUGGUAUAUGAGUAAUUAAGCUCCUUUUGAUUCUGGGGACACCACUGCUUCCUACACUUUUUCUUAUGUUACCUGCUUUACUUAAAGGCAGGGUGCAGCUGAGCAUCUGUGAGAACCUCUUUUGUAGCUUCCAAAUUUCAUAUCCAAAUAAACCACUCGGGGUACAGUGAUUCAUAGUUACAUUUUU